GGGGGGGGGGGGGGGGGGGGGGGGGGGGGGGAGGGCGGGGGGGGGGGGGGUGGGGGGGGGGGGGGGUCGGGGGGGGGAGGGGUGGGUGGCACGGGGGUAACCUGGCCUUGGCGGGGGGGGAACUUCAGGAAGCUGGGGCUAGUACCGGAUCGGAGCUCCUGCUGCAUGGGGGGGGUUGGAAAGGUGCGGCGGUUGGGGCUGGACUCGCGGCUUAUCAGCUUGUUGGUGGGGUAGUGGCUUACCAAGGCUUUGACGGGUAGCCGGCCUGAGAGGGUGACCGGCAACAUUGGGACUGAGAUACGGCCCAGACUCCUACGGGAGGCAGCAGUGGGGAAUAUUGCACAAUGGACGGAAGCCUGAUGCAGCAACGCCGCGUGCGGGAUGACGGCCUUCGGGUUGUAAACCGCUACCGCCUGUGACGAAGCGUGAGUGACGGUAAUGGGUAAAGAAGCACCGGCUAACUACGUG
rnacentral:rRNA from 1 species